GACGUAGGGGGCCAGCGUUGUUCGGAAUUACUGGGUGUAAAGGGUUCGUAGGCGGUGCGGCAAGUCGGGAGUGAAAUCUCUGGGCUUAACCCAGAGGCUGCUUCCGAAACUGCUGUGCUUGAGUGUGGGAAAGGCGCGUGGAAUUGCAGGUGUAGCGGUGAAAUGCGCAGAUAUCAGGAGGAACACCGGUGGCGAAGGCGGGUCUCUGGGCAACAACUGACGCUGAGGAGCGAAAGCGUGGGGAGCGAACAGG
rnacentral:rRNA from 1 species